CGCACAUUGCACUCCUUGGUAUUCCGAGGAGUAUGCCUGUUUCAGUAUCAUGAGCACUCUCACACCUAAUCUUUGGGUUAUGUUGUGGAAUUGGGAUGCGCCGAUUUUAACUAGUCGGCACUCCUAAAAUGUAGCUCUUGACUGUUUCCUACUACAGCAGUUUGGCCUAAUAGUUUUGACUUUUGUCAAAUCUUUGGCUACAUUUGCUUCUGGAAAUCAGUCUUGAUAAUACAGAAAACUCAUUUUAAACUUUGAUCUGAAAUCAGGUAGGGCUACCCGCUGAACUUAA
rnacentral:misc_RNA from 1 species